rnacentral:rRNA from 1 species
UACGGGGGGGGGCACGCGUUGUUCGGAUUUACUGGGCGUAAAGGGCUCGUAGGCGGCCAACUAAGUCAGACGUGAAAUCCCUCGGCUUAACCGGGGAACUGCGUCUGAUACUGGAUGGCUAGAGGUUGGGAGAGGGAUGCGGAAUUCCAGGUGUAGCGGUGAAAUGCGUAGAUAUCUGGAGGAACACCGGUGGCGAAGGCGGCAUCCUGGACCAAUUCUGACGCUGAGGAGCGAAAGCCAGGGGAGCAAACGGG